CCUCACAGCCUUAUUAGCAUAAUCGGAACCUUUCUGGUUUUUAUAUUCACGAAAGAAUGAAAAAACCCGAGAAAGUCAAAACUUCGUAUAUCUCGGGAUUUUAACGAGACCAGUCUCAUACUCGUGAAAAUCGAGAGAGGAGUUUAAAUGGAAAAACAUGAAACAGUCUGAACAGCAAUCCUCGAUUUUGUCAACAAUCUAAAACGUGCUAAGGAGUAGUCAUUCGUCGAUUUACCUGCGGCUUCCAGAUGAUCUGAAGAUCGGGAAUAUAGAAAAUAUUGUCAAUUUGAUAUUGCUAAUGACCCAGUCAUGUCUGCUGAAGCCCAGAAGUUUCCAGACCAUGACAUUAAUGAAUAUUUCUUGAAUGGAAUGCAUGAGGAUUAGAAUGGAACCUUAUUCUGCCUUUUUACCAACUCACACCAUCUUUUCAAGAUUUAUGGAGCCAACCACAGAAGAAUUUGUUCUAUACACAUCAUUCAUAACAUUCUUAUUUAUGUUGCAUAACUUUAAAUGUUACUGGAUGAAUUGUGUGCACAUAAUGAAUACCAGCAAACUUUUUAUCGAGUGCACUUAAUUUGUAUUUUUCCUACCCAUCCAUCUAACAUAUGUUUUUAUAUAACAUAUUCAUAUACAUGUAACAUUUUUGGAAACAGCUAUUUUUUUUAAAUUGGAAUUUAGCCUUACUAUUUUAUACAAGUUUUUUUUAUAGGGACUUGGACACGAUUUUAGAUCAAAAUUUUGAUUUCAAUUUCUUUAUGCAUAAAAUGAUAUACUUGCACAUUUUGAAUAAUU